rnacentral:sRNA from 1 species
AACAAAACAUUUUAUUAAUUUAAAGAGGUUAAAAACAUAGUAAAUGAGAAGCUUGACAAAUAUAAAUAUAAAGAAAAUGCCUAUAAUUAUUUUUCAGAAAACAUCCUCUUCUACUAUAAUGCCUUAAGUAUGGCUUCAUUUAAUUGCGUAGAACGCCGGAUCUGCUAAUAGGUUUUAAGCGCUCAAAACUACAAAGAUCAGUCCGAAGGCAUAAACUAUACACAAGAUUCCCAGAGUUCAGUUCGCUAAAACUUGGUCGAUAGAGAAAACAACACUAAUUAAUGAAUACGGACUAAUUUGAAACAUGGAAUCAUCAUGAUUGAUACCAAAA